CUUUUAUGGACCUGUAUUAGUUAAAUCAUGAUCUGUGAUCAUCAGUUUUAACUGCAGGAUAUGAAAGUGGAUUUCCUUCUAUUAAAUGUUAUAGAAGUGGAGUUCUGCGGGAUUUCAUUUUACAACAUUUUUUAAAAAUAUUAUGAUCAAAGUUUUAGAAGACAAGGAAAAAAAAAUCGCGAAUUUAGACAUUUUAGAUCUGUCCGAUUCCCUUUAAAUAGCCGAUGUUAUUAUAGGUGCUGUUUGCAACAAAAAAGGUGGGGAAUAACUUCCAUAAGUAAUCAGUGUACUAGGUAAAUAAUCGUGAUACGGAACAUAAUUAUAUUUACACUAAUUGACGUAUAUGUAACAUGCCGGGAUAUGGUGGGUUUAUUCAAUAUUUAACUACUUAGGAGGUCAAGGGUCAUAGAGUAAGUGUGUAUAUAACAGAACAUGUACAGAACCAAAGAAGCAGUAGAGUUUGUAUAGAACCAGGCACUUUACAUUGUAUAUAUAGUUGAUUUAAAAAGAUAUUCAAAAUGAAGAUUGUAUUUGCUGCGGUCAUCUGCAUGCUUGUUAUUAUGGUUAUUGAACCCAUCGACUCGUAUUGCUUUGCCGGACGUCCUAAAGUUUCAAUGACAGGAGGUAAAUUUGAGGUCUUCUGCGACAGUCCACAUGGUAUCAUGAAGCCUGGUCAAGUUAUCAGAGAUAAUUGUGAAGAAUGUCGUUGUACAUUUCGAAAUUUCAACUGUUGUGGAAUUGGUUAUAAUGCUGGUUCAUUUAAGAUACCCGGAUGUAAGAUAAAGAAACUGGAUAACUGUUGCUACCAAUUUGUAAAGAGCAGUAACUCAUCUAUUCCUUGUACUGAAGUGGAAUGUCCCACGCCAUAUAAACCAUGAGACCACAUUUAAUCGAGAAAGAUAUCAAAUGACUAAAUAUGUUUCAGUCGACCAGUCAGAAAACAUUGUGAUUGAAUAAACAAAUAUUUUCUGAUAUAAA